rnacentral:rRNA from 1 species
UACGUAGGGUGCGAGCGUUGUCCGGAAUUAUUGGGCGUAAAGAGCUUGUAGGCGGUCUGUCGCGUCUGCUGUGAAAAUCCGGGGCUCAACCCCGGACUUGCAGUGGGUACGGGCAGACUAGAGUGUGGUAGGGGAGACUGGAAUUCCUGGUGUAGCGGUGAAAUGCGCAGAUAUCAGGAGGAACACCGAUGGCGAAGGCAGGUCUCUGGGCCACUACUGACGCUGAGAAGCGAA